GACGAACGCUGGCGGCGGGCUUAACACAUGCAAGUCGAACGGAAAGGCCCUGCUUUUGUGGGGUGCUCGAGUGGCGAACGGGUGAGUAACACGUGAGUAACCUGCCCUUGACUUUGGGAUAACUUCAGGAAACUGGGGCUAAUACCGGAUAGGAGCUCCUGCUGCAUGGUGGGGGUUGGAAAGUUUCGGCGGUUGGGGAUGGACUCGCGGCUUAUCAGCUUGUUGGUGGGGUAGUGGCUUACCAAGGCUUUGACGGGUAGCGGGCCUGAGAGGGUGACCGGCCACAUUGGGACUGCGAUACGGCCCAGACUCCUACGGGAGGCAGCAGUGGGGAAUAUUGCACAAUGGGAGGAAGCCUGAUGCAGCAACGCCGCGUGCGGGAUGACGGCCUUCGGGUUGUAAACCGCAUUAGCCUGUGACGAAGCGUGAGUGACGGUACUGGGUAAAGAAGCACCGGCUAACUACGUG
rnacentral:rRNA from 1 species